rnacentral:hammerhead_ribozyme from 1 species
AUCCAGCUGACGAGUUUCAAAUGGGACGAAACGCGCGUCAAACUGGAU